UUGAAGGACACUCCAUCUUUUUCUAUGCUAAGGAAAAUUAAUGUGAGGUGUGUUCUUUCCAAGGUUGCAUGAUAUAUACAACCAAAUGAGAGAAAGUUUGGUGGUGAGUGAGGUUUGAGAGCGAAAAUUUAGAGAGAGAAAUUAUUGUGUGUGCUCUCACCCUUCUCCUCAUUUUCUCCAUGUUUUGAACUGUUGUUUAACACUGAAACCCGCCGGAGAGGUCGACGGAGAUCGAAGAUAAUGGAGUUCCCACCGGAGAGGUUGAUCAAACUUUGAGUUGCUCUGUUGUAUGGUCGUUGUCAGUACGCGUUUGUGACAACGUGAACCUAUGGAGGUUAACCGUACAAGGAUGCAUGCAAGAAUAUGAAGUGAGAGUAUUUUCAGCAACUUAUUAAUGUUGUUGACUAUUGUCAUAGCAAGGGAGUCUUCUAUAGAGAUCUAAAGCCGUAAACUUACUUUUGGAUGCUGGAAACCUCAAAGUUUUCAAUUUCAAGUUAAGCGCUCUGUCCAAACAAUUCAGGGUAUAUAUAUACAUAUUCGAAUCUAAAUUAGUUGACUUUUAUUUCUCACAUAUAUUGUGUCCCAAAAAGUUUCUUUAGUUGAAUUUUGCAUUUAUGCCUUACGUAUACACACAUAUUUGUUAUCCAACAUUUACAAUUUGCUUAAGUUUUUCCUAUGUAUAUACACACA